rnacentral:rRNA from 1 species
CCUACGGGCGGCAGCAGUCGAGAAUCAUUCGCAAUGGGGGCAACCCUGAUGGUGCGACGCCGCGUGGGGGAAUGAAGGUCUUCGGAUUGUAAACCCCUGUCAUGUGGGCGCACAUUAAAAAGAUCGUACCACACAAGGAAGAGCCGGCUAACUCUGUGCCAGCAGCCUCGGUAGUACAGAGGGCUCAAGCGUUGUUCGGAAUCACUGGGUGUAAAGCGUGCGUAGGCGGUUUCGUAAGUCGUGUGUGAAAGGCGCGGGCUCAACCAGCGGAAGGCACAAGAUACUGCGAGACUAGAGUAAUGGAGGGGGAAACGGAAUUCUCGGUGUAGCAGUGAAAUGCGUAGAUAUCGAGAGGAACACUCGUGGCGAAGGCGGGUUCCUGGACAUCAACUGACGCUGAGGCACGAAGGCCAGGGGAGCGAAAGGGAUUAGAUACCCCGGUAGUC